UACGUAGGGUGCGAGCGUUAAUCGGAAUCACUGGGCGUAAAGCGUACGCAGGCGGCGGUGCUGGCCCGGCGUGAAAGCCCCCGGCUCAACCGGGGAGGGUCGUCGGGGACCGCACCGCUUGAGGGCGGUAGGGGCUGGUGGAAUGCCUGGUGUAGUGGUGAAAUGCGUAGAGAUCAGGCGGAACACCCGUGGCGAAGGCGGCCAGCUGGGCCGUCCCUGACGCUGAGGCGCGAAGGCGUGGGGAGCAAACAGG
rnacentral:rRNA from 1 species